GAUCAUUAGCGAAAUCCAAAAGGUUGGUGUCCCGACGCCUGAAAGGGUCGGGCCCAUCCGUUCCCUCACACACUGUCGAACCGUAGGGAGUUGGUCUUGCCUUCUCUCGAUUUUUCAAACUCUUAAAGUCUUUGGGAUGAAGUUUAGGUGAAAACCAAAAACACAACUUUCAACAACGGAUCUCUUGGCUCUCGCAUCGAUGAAGAACGCAGCGAAAUGCGAUAAGUAAUGUGAAUUGCAGAAUUCAGUGAAUCAUCGAAUCUUUGAACGCACCUUGCACCCUUGGGUAUUCCCAAGGGUAUGUCUGUCUGAGUGUCAUUUGAACUCUCAAGGCCCCUUUCCUUUCAUCGGGUUUGGGUGCUUUGGAUCGUGGGCGUUUGCCGGCUCUGUCAGGCUCGCCUCAAAUAGAAUGGGGUUUUCUUCUCUGAACCUUCGUUGGGUUUGACCCGGAGUGAUAGAAGUCUUUCGAGAUCUCUGGGAACACCUGAUGGUGACCUACCGAGGCGUGAGGGAUUGCCCGUCAAGACUCAUCUGACGUUUUCGACCUCAGAUCAGGCAGGACUACCCGCUGAACUUAAGCAUAUCAAUAAGCGGAAGGAAAAGAAACUAACAAGGAUUCCCCUAGUAACGGCGAGUGAAGCGGGGAAGAGCUCAAAAUUUGUAAUCUGGCCGGUCUCCGGUCCGAGUUGUAACCUGUAGAGUCGAUACUGUGCCGGUCCUCUCAUGAGUCCGUUGGAAUGCGGCGUCAAAGAGGGUGAGAACCCCGUUCUUGGUGAGGUUUCCGGUGCUCUGUGUGUCGAUUUCGAAGAGUCGAGUUGUUUGGGAAUGCAGCUCAAAUUGGGUGGUAAAUUCCAUCUAAAGCUAAAUAUUGGCGAGAGACCGAUAGCAAACAAGUACCGUGAGGGAAAGAUGAAAAGCACUUUGGAAAGGGAGUUAACAGUACGUGAAAUUGUUGAAAGGGAAACGCUUGAAGUCAGACGUGCCUCACCGAGUUCAGCCCUUCGGUGUACUCUCGGUGGCAGGCUAGCAUCGAUUUUGGAGGCCGGAUAAGGGCUCGGGGAACGUGGCAGCUCCGGCUGUGUUAUAGCCCCUUGCUUGAUACGGUUUUCGAGAUCGAGGAUUGCGGCUCGCCCUCGUGGCAGGGGACUCUCCUCUCCAGC
rnacentral:rRNA from 1 species